GACGAACGCUGGCGGCGGGCUUAACACAUGCAAGUCGAACGGUAAGGCUCCAGCUUGCUGGGGUACACGAGUGGCGAACGGGUGAGUAACACGUGAGUGACCUGCCCUGCACUUCGGGAUAAGCCGGGGAAACUGGGUCUAAUACCGGAUAGGACCAUGGGGUGGAUACUGUGGUGGGAAGUUUUGCGGUGUGGGAUGGGCCGUGGGGCUAUCAGCUUGUUGUGGGGGUAAUGGCCUACCAAGCGAGCGACGGUUAGCCGGCAGAAGAGGGGGGACGGCCACAUGGGUACUGAGACACGGAGCAGAGUGGUACGGGAGGCAGCAGUGGGGAAUAUUGCACAAUGGGCGGAAGUCUGAUGCAGCGGCGCCGCGUGGGGGAUGAAGGCCUUCGGGUUGUAAACUGCUUUCACCAUAGACGAAGGGUUUCUGACGUUAGCUGGAGAAGAAGCACCGGCUAACUACGUG
rnacentral:rRNA from 1 species